CAACUACUCCCUCUGUUUGAAAUUACUUGUCGAAGAAAUAGAUGUAUAUAGACGUAUUUUAGUUUUAGAUACAUCCAUUUCCGAGACAAGUAAUUUCGAACGAAGGGAGUAAUUA
rfam:Triticum urartu cultivar G1812 contig195266, whole genome shotgun sequence.